CAGUAGCCGCGGUAAUACAGAGGGUGCGAGCGUUAAUCGGAUUUACUGGGCGUAAAGCGUGCGUAGGCGGCUUCUUAAGUCGGAUGUGAAAUCCCUGAGCUUAACUUAGGAAUUGCAUUCGAUACUGGGAAGCUAGAGUAUGGGAGAGGAUGGUAGAAUUCCAGGUGUAGCGGUGAAAUGCGUAGAGAUCUGGAGGAAUACCGAUGGCGAAGGCAGCCAUCUGGCCUAAUACUGACGCUGAGGUACGAAAGCAUGGGGAGCAAACAGGAUUAGAGACCCCAGUAGUCCCUGUCUCUUAUAC
rnacentral:rRNA from 1 species